CGGGGGGAGCAAGCGUUGUUCGGAUUUACUGGGCGUAAAGGGCGCGUAGGCGGCCACCGCAAGUCGACUGUGAAAUCUCCGGGCUUAACCCGGAAAGGUCAGCCGAUACUGCGGGGCUAGAGUGCAGAAGGGGCAACUGGAAUUCUCGGUGUAGCGGUGAAAUGCGUAGAUAUCGAGAGGAACACCUGCGGCGAAGGCGGGUUGCUGGGCUGACACUGACGCUGAUGCGCGAAAGCUAGGGGAGCGAACGGGAUUAGAUACCCCGGUAGUCCUAGCCUUAAACGAUGAAUGCUUGGUGUCUGGGGUUUUAUAGUCCCCGGGUGCCGUCGCUAACGCUUUUAAGCAUUCCGCCUGGGGAGUACGGUCGCAAGACUG
rnacentral:rRNA from 1 species